rnacentral:rRNA from 1 species
UACGCAGAAGACUAGUGUUAUUCAUCUUGAUUUGGUUUAAAGCGUACCUAGACGGUAAAAUUAAACUUUAAAAGAAGUACUUUUUACUAGAGUUUUAUGUGAUAAAGGAUAACUCUUGAAGUAAUGUUAAAAUAUUUAAAUAUCAAGGGGAAUGACAACGGCGAAAGGCUCCUUUAUAUGUAAAAACUGACGUUGAGGGACGGAAGGACAUGGGUAACGAUAAGG